UUGAACGCUGGCGGAAUGCUUUACACAUGCAAGUCGAACGGCAGCACGGGGGCAACCCUGGUGGCGAGUGGCGAACGGGUGAGUAAUACAUCGGAACGUGCCCAGUCGUGGGGGAUAACUACGCGAAAGCGUAGCUAAUACCGCAUACGAUCUACGGAUGAAAGCGGGGGAUCGCAAGACCUCGCGCGAUUGGAGCGGCCGAUGGCAGAUUAGGUAGUUGGUGGGGUAAAGGCUCACUAAGCCGUCGAUCUGUAGCUGGUCUGAGAGGACGACCAGCCACACUGGGACUGAGACACGGCCCAGACUCCUACGGGAGGCAGCAGUGGGGAAUUUUGGACAAUGGGCGCAAGCCUGAUCCAGCCAUUCCGCGUGCAGGAUGAAGGCCUUCGGGUUGUAAACUGCUUUUGUACGGAACGAAACGGCUCUCUCUAAUACAGGGGGCUAAUGACGGUACCGUAAGAAUAAGCACCGGCUAACUACGU
rnacentral:rRNA from 1 species